AUUGAACGCUGGCGGCAGGCCUAACACAUGCAAGUCGAGCGGAUGAACGGAGCUUGCUCCUGGAUUCUGUGGCGGACGGGCGAGUAAUGCCUAGGAAUCUGCCCUGUCGAGGGGGCUAACGUCCGGAAACGGGCGCUAAUACCGCACACGUCCUGAGGGUGAACGUGGGGGAUCUUCGGACCUCACGCUUUUUGAUGAGCCUAGGUCGGAUUAGCUAGUUGGUGGGGUAAAGGCUUACCAAGGCGACGAUCCGUAACUGGUCUGAGAGGGUGAUCAGUCACACUGGAACUGAGACACGGUCCAGACUCCUACGGGAGGCAGCAGUGGGGAAUAUUGGACAAUGGGCGAAAGCCUGAUCCAGCCAUGCCGCGUGUGUGAAGAAGGUCUUCGGAUUGUAAAGCACUUUAAGUUGGGAGGAAGGGCAGUGAAUUUAUACCUGGCUGUUUUGACGGUACCAACAGAGUAAGCACCGGCUAACUUCGUG
rnacentral:rRNA from 1 species